CUUGGUCAUUUAGAGGAAGUAAAAGUCGUAACAAGGUUUCCGUAGGUGAACCUGCGGAAGGAUCAUUAUCGAGUUUUUGAAACGGGUUGUCGCUGGUCCCGUUCUUAACAGAGUCGGGACAUGUGCACACCUGGCUUCAUUCCACUCUUCAACCCCUGUGCACUUGUUGUAGGUUUCAGGUCGGACGCGGGGCUUUUGACUUCAUCGUCGAGAGCCUCAAGGAAAGCCUGAGCCUAUGUUUUACCAUACACACGCUUCAGUUAUAGAAUGUAAACAUCGCGUAUAACGCAUUUUAAAUACAACUUUCAGCAACGGAUCUCUUGGCUCUCGCAUCGAUGAAGAACGCAGCGAAAUGCGAUAAGUAAUGUGAAUUGCAGAAUUCAGUGAAUCAUCGAAUCUUUGAACGCACCUUGCGCUCCUUGGUAUUCCGAGGAGCAUGCCUGUUUGAGUGUCAUGGAAUUCUCAACCUUUGAAAGCUUUUAUCGGUUCUCAAAGGCUUGGACUUGGAGGUCGUGUCGGCUCUGCAAAGAAUCGACUCCUCUGAAACGUAUCAGUGCGAACCUUUACGGAUCGUCUUCGGUGUGAUAAACGUCUACGCCGUGGUCGUGAAGUAUGAUCGUGUCCGUGCUUCUAACCGUCUCCUUUGCGAGACAAAAACUGUGUUACUAUAAGUAACAUAGGCAUUGACAAUCUGACCUCAAAUCAGGUAGGACUACCCGCUGAACUUAAGCAUAUCAAUAAGCGGAGGA
rnacentral:rRNA from 1 species